UACGUAGGGGGCAAGCGUUAUCCGGAUUUACCGGGUGUAGAGGGAGCGUAGACGGCUUGGCAAGCCAGAUGUGAAAGGCUGGGGCUCAACCCCAGGACUGCAUUUGGAACUGUCAUGCUAGAGUGUCGGAGAGGCAGGCGGAAUUCCUAGUGUAGCGGUGAAAUGCGUAGAUAUUAGGAGGAACACCAGUGGCGAAGGCGGCCUGCUGGACGAUGACUGACGUUGAGGCUCGAAAGCGUGGGGAGCAAACAGG
rnacentral:rRNA from 1 species